GACGAACGCUGGCGGCGUGCUUAACACAUGCAAGUCGAGCGGUAAGGCCCUUUCGGGGGUACGACGAGCGGCGAACGGGUGAGUAACACGUGGGUGACCUGCCCUCAGCUCUGGGAUAAGCCUGGGAAACCGGGUCUAAUACUGGAUAUGACUCCAUGACGCAUGUUGUGGGGUGGAAAGCCUUGUGCGGCUGAGGAUGGGCCCGCGGCCUAUCAGCUUGUUGGUGGGGGGAU
rnacentral:rRNA from 1 species